rnacentral:rRNA from 1 species
AAACUAGGAUUAGAUACCCUAUUAUUUAAAUUUAAAUUUUCAAUUUUUAGUAUUUUAGUUACAUAAUAAAUUAAAUUGAUUUGGCGGUUUAUUAAACGUUUUAGAGGAAUCUGUGUAUUAAAUUGAUGAACCACGAUUUAUUUAACCUUAAUUUUCUUGUAUAUCUCUAUAAUUGAAUAUUUUUAGAGGAAAAUUUUCUUUUUUACAAAUUUAAUUUAAUUUAGGUCAAGGUGCAGUUAUAUUAAGGGUUUUCAUGGAUUACAAAAAUUUAUGUUUUUAAAUAAUUUUACUAGAAAAUUUUGAAAUUGGAUUUAAAAGUAAUUUUUUUUUUUAAAAGAAUUGAAUUAUGCACUGAUUAAUGUACAUAUUGCCCGUCAUUCUCAUUGAGUGAGACAAGUCGUAACAAAGUAGAUAUAUUGGAAAAUGUAUCUAGCAGAUA